ACCCUUUUGUAGCUCACAUGCACGAUAAUUGGAUGUUCCUGUGCAUAUGUGAGAUAUGUCUCCCUCAAACCUUGUUACCAGACAUGGGGAAAUAACCCAUCCGAUG
ensembl:snoRNA